rnacentral:lncRNA from 1 species
UUGUUCUUUUUGCCACAUGCAGUGAUGAUAGUGCUCGAGCUACUAUUAUGUAGGAGUCUAACAUGCAUCAUAGGAUGAUAUAGCGAUAGCCUAGCAUAAUAAAGAAAAGAAGAAAAAGAAAAGGGCUAAUAGUGUGAAAAAAAUGAAAUUAUUAUGAAGACCGCAUCGGAUGGAUAUAGAGAAUAAAUUAACUACUUCUUUUUAUAGCAAGUGGAUCAUCCGUCUGUCCCCUUCUCUAGUAGGUGAAGGGUGUGGGUAGAGCAGAGGAUAAUAUGGCAGCCAGCCAUCAUCGCACAGAGCAAAGGACAGUGUGGUAGUAGUCCAUCAUCAAAGAUCAAUCCCUAUUUUUUAAUAUAUAUGCUGGCUAUCCAUUUGUUGAUAGGUUUCAAAGGGGAUGUAGGUGACUGGGAGAGGAGCAUGGGAGGGUGCGCAAAAAGCAAAAGAUGGCACCAUAGUGGGCUACAAUCAAAGCCCUUUUCUUAUAAUGUUGGACAUGGGGGUUCACCAACAGGACCUUAGAGAGGAUGUGGGCUAGAAGG